UCGGGAAUAUUGCGCAAUGGAGGAAACUCUGACGCAGUGACGCCGCGUGCAGGAAGAAGGUUUUCGGAUUGUAAACUGCUUUAGACAGGGAAGAAAGAAAUGACGGUACCUGUAGAAUAAGCUCCGGCUAACUACGUGCCAGCAGCCGCGGUAAUACGUAGGGAGCAAGCGUUAUCCGGAUUUAUUGGGUGUAAAGGGUGCGUAGACGGGUAUACAAGUUAGUAGUGAAAUCCCUCGGCUUAACUGAGAAACUGCUACUAAAACUAUAUAUCUUGAGUACUGGAGGGGAAAGCGGAAUUCCUAGUGUAGCGGUGAAAUGCGUAGAUAUUAGGAAGAACACCGGUGGCGAAGGCGGCUUUCUGGACAAGAACUGACGUUGAGGCACGAAAGUGUGGGGAGCAAACAGGAUUAGAUACC
rnacentral:rRNA from 1 species